GACAGAUGAGAGCACGCUGAAAAUUUAGUUCACUUCGCAAGGAUUUACGGAUAACGAAUAUGAUGUAUUGUGAGAACCAUGAGUUUGUCUGUGGAGUGUUGCCUGAAGGUGCCCAGCGAGUGCAGGUGCCCAGUGAAUGCAUCUUGGAAUGGAGCACCUCAGAGGGCUAUUGCCCCUCUUCUACUGGACAUACUUGCAUGCUUAGCUUGGUGCCUGGGAGUCGCUUUCUUUGGGAAUAGAGUGCAAAUAGGGUGGUAUGUUUUGCCUCACGCUGUCUCUGGGCUCAAGACCAAUAAAGAAGAAGUACCAUGAGGGAAGGGUGAAAAGGACUUUGAAAAGAGGGUUAAGAGCAUGUGCAUCUGCUGAAUAGGAGGAGAAUUGAGUGUGUGCCUAAAGCAUGGUUGCCAGGUACUUUUGCCACAGCGAGCUGCACGGCAAAGCUUUUUGAUGGUACAUCUGUGCUUGGUGGCCCCUGCUUGUGUGCCAGUUUGAGCUUGCCAUGUGGCAUAACUGUAUCUAGGGUGGCUUGCGUGAAUUGUUGCUCAACUCGCGAGGUAUGCUAUCCAUGUGGUAGUGCAGAAUGUUUCCCAUAGAUUUGUGAAGAACAAUGGCAAAGUGCAACUUCACCCCGUCUUGAAACACGGACCAAGGAGUCUAGCGUGCAUGCGAGUCAGCAAUUCCUCGUUGGUGGCGCAGGGAAAUCAGUGUUUUGGAGCUUUGCAUGGAUGACCAAUAGUUCACUGGAGCUUUUUGAGUCAGAACAUGUGUGCUAGCACCCGAAAGGUGGUGAACUAUGCUUGUGUAGUGCAAAGGCAGGGGAAACUCUGAUGGAGGCUCAUCAUGAUACUGACGUGCAAAUCGUUCGUUUGACAUGGGUAUAGGGGCGAAAGACUAAUCGAACCACCUAGUAGCUGGUUCCCUCCGAAGUUUCCCUCAGGAUAGCCAGAGAUGGACACUUGUAUCAGGUAAAGCCAAUGAUUUGAGGAAUCAGGGGUGAUGUGUCUUUGACCUACUCUCAAACUUUCAAUGGGUACACUCUGCACCUUGCUUGCAGGAAGAGCUGCCAAACAAUGACGUCUCUGAGUGGGCCACUUUUGGUAAGCAGGACUGGUGAUGAGGGGUGAACCUAACAAGGGGAUAUGGUGCUGGAAUAUUUGCUCAUGAGAUACUACAAAGGGUGCUGGUUCAUAUGGACAGCAGGACGGUGGUCAUGGAAGUUGAAAUCCGCUGAGGAGUGUGUAACAACUCACCUGCCGAAUGGACUAACCCCGAAAAUGGAUGGCGCUGAAGCAUGUGGCCAAUACCCUUUUGCUUUUGUGUUUCCGCAGCAGUGAGUAGGAGGGCUUGAGGCUGAGAUGAUAUCUGCAAUGAUGCCAGACUGAUACUGCAGCCGC
rnacentral:rRNA from 1 species